rnacentral:rRNA from 1 species
AAACGGCAGCUUACACAUGCAGUCGAACGCAUCCUUCGGGGUGAGUGGCAGACGGGUGAGUAACGCGUGGGAAUCUACCCAUCCCUACGGGAUAGCUCCGGGAAACUGGAGAUAAUACCGUAUACGUCCUCCGGGAGAAAGAUUUAUCGGGGAUGGAUGAGCCCGCGUUGGAUUAGCUAGUUGGUGGGGUAAUGGCCUACCAAGGCGACGAUCCAUAGCUGGUCUAAGAGGAUGAUCAGCCACAUUGGGACUGAGACACGGCCCAAACUCCUACGGGAGGCAGCAGUGGGGAAUAUUGGACAAUGGGCGCAAGCCUGAUCCAGCCAUGCCGCGUGAGUGAUGAAGGCCCUAGGGUUGUAAAGCUCUUUCAGUGGGGACGAUAAUGACGGUACCCACAGAAGAAGCCCCGGCUAACUUCGUGCCAGCAGCCGCGGUAAUACGAAGGGGGCUAGCGUUGUUCGGAAUUACUGGGCGUAAAGCGCACGUAGGCGGACAUUUAAGUCAGGGGUGAAAUCCCGGGGCUCAACCCCGGAACUGCCUCUGAUACUGGGUGUCUUGAGUGUGGUAGAGGUGAGUGGAAUUGCGAGUGUAGAGGUGAAA